rnacentral:rRNA from 1 species
UGAACGCUGGCGGCGUGCUUAACACAUGCAAGUCGAACGAGAAAGGGAUUGCUUGCAAUCCUGAGUAGAGUGGCGCACGGGUGAGUAACACGUAGAUAAUCUACCUUCGAUUUUGGAAUAACUAUUCGAAAGGAUAGCUAAUACCGGAUAAAGUUUAAUAUCACAAGGUAUUAAAUGAAAGAUGGCCUCUGCUUGCAAGCUAUUGAUUGGAGAUGAGUCUGCGGACCAUUAGUUAGUUGGUGGGGUAACGGCCUACCAAGACAGCGAUGGUUAGCUGGUCUGAGAGGAUGAUCAGUCACACUGGAACUGGAACACGGUCCAGACUCCUACGGGAGGCAGCAGUGAGGAAUUUUGCGCAAUGGGGGUAACCCUGACGCAGCAACGCCGCGUGAGUGAAGAAGGCCUUUGGGUCGUAAAGCUCUGUCAACAAGGAAGAAAUUACAGUUAUCUAAUAGGUGUCUGUAUUGACGGUACUUGUGGAGGAAGCGCCGGCUAACUCC